UACGGGGGGGGCAAGCGUUGUUCGGAAUUACUGGGCGUAAAGGGCUCGUAGGCGGCUAUUUAAGUCAGACGUGAAAUCCCUCGGCUUAACCGGGGAACGGCGUCUGAUACUGGACGGCUUGAGUUCGGGAGAGGGAUGCGGAAUUCCAGGUGUAGCGGUGAAAUGCGUAGAUAUCUGGAGGAACACCGGUGGCGAAGGCGGCAUCCUGGACCGAUACUGACGCUGAGGCGCGAAAGCUAGGGGAGCAAACGGG
rnacentral:rRNA from 1 species